rnacentral:lncRNA from 1 species
GGGCGAGGUGAAGCAGCUCUGGGUGGGCAGCACAGGCUGAGGCUUGGGGCUCACUAUCAUUAGAUAACUCUUAGAGUGACCAGCUAGCACCCUAAUUCUUCUCCAGCCCUCAGCUUCCUCUCCGGCAGCCUGGGGUGAAGGCCUCUGUAGGACCAAGUGUGUCCAGCUAUAACUCCUUCCAGCCACUUCUGGCAUCUCCAGACCUACAACGCAGAGCAGGAAGGUUCUGGGAAAAGAGGACCCCUCUCUCCCCUCCAGCUGUGUGACCU